UAUUUGUACGCUGGCGGCAUGCCUUACACAUGCAAGUCGGACGGCAGCGCGGGGGCAACCCUGGCGGCGAGUGGCGAACGGGUGAGUAAUACAUCGGAACGUACCCAGGAGUGGGGGAUAACGUAGCGAAAGUUACGCUAAUACCGCAUAAACUGUGAGCAGAAAAGCAGGGGAUCGCAAGACCUUGCGCUUUUGGAGCGGCCGAUGUCGGAUUAGCUAGUUGGCGGGGUAAAAGCCCACCAAGGCGACGAUCCGUAGCGGGUCUGAGAGGACGAUCCGCCACACUGGGACUGAGACACGGCCCAGACUCCUACGGGAGGCAGCAGUGGGGAAUUUUGGACAAUGGGCGCAAGCCUGAUCCAGCCAUGCCGCGUGAGUGAAGAAGGCCUUCGGGUUGUAAAGCUCUUUCGGUGGGGAAGAAAUCGCAUUUUCAAAUAGAAAAUGUGGAUGACGGUACCCGCACAAGAAGCACCGGCUAACUACGUGCCAGCAGCCGCGGUAAUACGUAGGGUGCGAGCGUUAAUCGGAAUUACUGGGCGUAAAGCGUGCGCAGGUGGUUAUAUAAAUCAGAUGUGAAAUCCCCGGGCUCAACCUGGGAAUGGCAUUUGAGACUGUAUGACUAGAGGAUGGCAGAGGGGGGUAGAAUUCCACGUGUAGCAGUGAAAUGCGUAGAGAUGUGGAGGAAUACCGAUGGCGAAGGCAGCCCCCUGGGCUAUAACUGACACUCAUGCACGAAAGCGUGGGGAGCAAACAGGAUUAGAUACCCUGGUAGUCCACGCCCUAAACGAUGUCAACUGGAUGUUGGGAGGGUUAAACCUCUUAGUGUCGUAGCUAACGCGAGAAGUUGACCGCCUGGGGAGUACGGCCGCAAGGCUAAAACUCAAAGGAAUUGACGGGGACCCGCACAAGCGGUGGAUGAUGUGGAUUAAUUCGAUGCAACGCGAAAAACCUUACCUACCCUUGACAUGCCAGGAUUCUGCUGAGAGGUGGAAGUGCUCGAAAGAGAACCUGGACCACAGGUGCUGCAUGGCUGUCGUCAGCUCGUG
rnacentral:rRNA from 1 species